UAUUGGGCGUAAGGGCGCGUAGGCGGUCUUGUACACGUCUGAGUGUGAAAUGCCUCGGGGCUCAACCCCGGAACUGCACUUGAAACUGCAAGACUUGAAUACGGGAGAGGAGAGAGGAAUUCCUGGUGUAGAGGUGAAAUUCGUAGAUAUCAGGAGGAACACCGAUGGCGAAGGCAUCUCUCUGGACCGAUAUUGACGCUGAGGCGCGAAGGCGUGGGUAGCGAACGGGAUUAGAUACCCCGGUAGUCCACGCAGUAAACGUUGUACACUCGGUGUGGCGGAUAUUAAAAUCUGCUGUGCCUAACCUAACGCAUUAACCGUACCGCCUGGGAAGUACGGUCGCAAGACUAAAACUCAAAGGAAUUGACGG
rnacentral:rRNA from 1 species